rnacentral:rRNA from 1 species
GACGAACGCUGGCGGCGUGCCUAAUACAUGCAAGUAGAACGCACAGUUUAUACCGUAGCUUGCUACACCAUAGACGGUGAGUUGCGAACGGGUGAGUAACGCGUAGGUAACCUGCCUGGUAGCGGGGGAGAACUACUGGAAACGAUAGCUAAUACCGCAUAAUAUUAAUUAUUGCAUGAUAAUUAAUGGAAAGGUGCAAUUUCACCACUACCAGAUGGACCUGCUUUGUAUUAGCUAGUAGGGGAGGUAACGGCGCACACAAGCGACGGUACAUAGCCGGCCUGGGAGGGUGGUCGGCCCACCUGGGAAUGGGGCACGGCCCAAGCUCCUAAGGGGAGCAGCCGUAGGGAAUCUUCGGCAAUGGACGGAAGUCUGACCGAGCAACGCCGCGUGAGUGAAGGAAGUUUUCGGAUCGUAAGGCUCUGUUGUAAGAGAAGAACGAAUGUGAGAGUGGAAAGUUCACACUGUGACGGUAUCUUACCAGAAAGGGACGGCUAACUACGUG